CCUACGGGAGGCAGCAGUAGGGAAUAUUGCUCAAUGGGGGAAACCCUGAAGCAGCAACGCCGCGUGGAGGAUGAAGGUCUUCGGAUUGUAAACCCCUUUUGUUAGAGAAGAGAAUGACGGUAUCUAACGAAUAAGCACCGGCCAACUCCGUGCCAGCAGCCGCGGUAAUACGGAGGGUGCAAGCGUUACUCGGAAUCACUGGGCGUAAAGAGGUCGUAGGCGGGUUAGCAAGUCAGAUGUGAAAUCCUAUGGCUUAACCCUAGAACUGCAUUUGAAACUGUUAUUCUAGAGUAUGGGAGAGGUAGGUGGAAUUCUUGGUGGAGGGGUGAAAUCCGUAGAUAUCAGGAGGAAUACUCAUUGCGAAGGCGGCCUGCUAGACCAUAACUGACGCUGAUGCGCGAAAGCGUGGGGAGCAAACAGGAUUAGAUACCCUAGUAGUC
rnacentral:rRNA from 1 species